rnacentral:rRNA from 1 species
AACGCUAGCUACAGGCUUAACACAUGCAAGUCGAGGGGCAGCACAGUGUAGCAAUACAUGGGUGGCGACCGGCGCACGGGUGCGUAACGCGUAUCCAACCUUCCCGUUACUCAGGGAUAGCCUUCCGAAAGGGAGAUUAAUACCUGAUGGUAUUCAAAUUUCGCAUGUUAUUUGAAUUAAAGAUUUAUCGGUAACGGAUGGGGAUGCGUGACAUUAGGUAGAUGGCGGGGCAACGGCCCACCAUGCCUACGAUGUCUAGGGGUUCUGAGAGGAAGGUCCCCCACACUGGAACUGAGACACGGUCCAGACUCCUACGGGAGGCAGCAGUGAGGAAUAUUGGUCAAAUGGUCGGAAGACUGAACCAGCCAAGUAGCGUGAAGGAAUGAAGGUUCUAUGGGAUUGUAAACUUCUUUUAUACGGGAAUAAAACCACCUACGUGUAGGUGCUUGUAUGUACCGUAUGAAUAAGCAUCGGCUAACUCCGUGCCAGCAGCCGCGGUAAUACGGAGGAUGCGAGCGUUAUCCGGAUUUAUUGGGUUUAAAGGGAGCGUAGACGGGGGAUUAAGUCAGUUGUGAAAGGCUGCGGCUCAACCGCAGCACUGCAGUUGAUACUGGUUUCCUUGAGUGCGGUUGAGGUGUAUGGAAUUCGUGGUGUAGCGGUGAAAUGCUUAGAUAUCACGAAGAACUCCGAUUG